AGGGUUUGAUUCUGGCUCAGGACGAACGCUGGCGGCGUGCUUAAUACAUGCAAGUCGAACGAAGAUGCUGCGAGGAAGUUUUCGGACGGAAUCGCAGUAGACUGAGUGGCGGACGGGUGAGUAACGCGUGAGCAACCUGCCUACAAGAGGGGGAUAACAGCUGGAAACGGCUGCUAAUACCGCAUAAGACCACGUUUUCGCAUGGAAGAGGGGUCAAAGGAGGAAUCCGCUUGUAGAUGGGCUCGCGUCCCAUUAGCUAGUUGGGAGGGUAAAGGCCUACCAAGGCGACGAUGGGUAGCCGACCUGAGAGGGUGAUCGGCCACACUGGAACUGAGACACGGUCCAG
rnacentral:rRNA from 1 species